GCUGCGAUGGCCGAGUGGUUAAGGCGUUGGACUUGAAAUCCAAUGGGGAUUCCCGCGCAGAGUUCGAACCCUGCUCGCAGCG